AGAUCUAAACUGAAGGUCAAGCAUACUAGUGGCCGCAAAUCCUUUAUACGCAUUUUAGAGGAGAAGGUUUGCAAUUAAGCAAGGGGUAUAAAUUGCUAAUCAGUUAAUGAGUCAAAAAAGUGUAUCUAACUUUUGAGCUCAAUUGUGUGUUUCAGCGGGAGGCAGCACUGAACAUGGUUGCCUUCUAUAGGCAAACACAUUGGUCAACCUGGAAGGGUAAAUGGAUCAACGCAGCCACUGAACAUAAUUACAAUCUUAUGAUGGAGAGGUUAGCUGAAAAGGAAUCUGAGGAGGAUAUUGAAGAGGCAGCUGAGAGUGUGUUCAAAGAGGUAUUGGGAAACAGACCUGGAUAUGCAGUAGGGAGGGGUCACAUGGUGAUUCCAGACCCAUCUCCUUCAAUGAAGAAUAGUAGGGCAUAUAUUCGUCUGUCGGAGGAGAAUGCACGAAACAAGACUGAGGCAGAAAUGUACAAGGCAAAACUAGACUCCAUGCUGGGUGAUAUUGCAGAGUUGAGAAGGAAUUUCUCAGAGCAUGAGAAGCUCUUAAUGAGCUAUCAGAACACUGACUUAGAGGGUGGUAGUGAGGCUCAUAGAGAGACUCACAGAGAUGAUUAGUUUUCUACGUGACAUUGGGAAGUCUUUUUGUGGAUGGCUAACAUUUGGGAAUUAUGAUUUUUGUGGAGGGCCAGUUUGACAUGGCCAUUUUUGGGUGGAAUGUAUCACAAUUUGUUAGCCUGUAGAUAUGUGUUGGCCAUGGACUUAUGUUAUACAGUUUUUUUUUUUUAUUUUGGUAAUGUAUGGUUGAAUCUAGUUAGGGUGGAUAUGAGUUAACGACUGCUGCAACAAAACUAAGAUACUAGGUCAUGUUUUUUGAUGGGUUGUUACUAAGAGAAUGAAGGGUUAGCAGAAUGAGAAGACUGAAAUCAGUGCUACAUGGAUGGAGGAUGUUGGUUGCAGUGACCACGAUUUCAUGAUAAAGCAGCUUACCAGGGAAAUAGGUACUUUCUAGGUCAUCAUUUACCAACAUGCUGUGUGGAAUCAGGGACUGGAAUCAAACACCUGUCAAACAGAGAUCUUCAGCAAGAAGCCAUACACAAUUUUUUUAUUAAACUGUCAUAUAUGGACCUCUUGGUUAUCAUUGAUGCUGAAGAAUUUGUGAAUAUGUGUUUGGUCCUGACUUAAUGUAAGGGUAUUUGAUUUGCAAACAUAUAUACGGUUCAUGGCCUUUAACUGUUAUUUUUAAUAUAGUGAGUUGGAAGAUGCAUUAUAUAUAUAUAUAUAAUGCUGCCUCA